GCCAGUGUGAUGUAGUGGUUUGAGCACCAGACUACAAUGCUGGAGACCGUGGUUCAAAUCCCUGUUCAGUCA